rnacentral:rRNA from 1 species
AUUGAACGCUGGCGGCAGGCCUAACACAUGCAAGUCGAACGGUAACAGGAAACAGCUUGCUGUUUCGCUGACGAGUGGCGGACGGGUGAGUAAUGUCUGGGAAACUGCCUGAUGGAGGGGGAUAACUACUGGAAACGGUAGCUAAUACCGCAUAACGUCGCAAGACCAAGGAGGGGGACCUUCGGGCCUCUGGCCAUCGGAUGGGCCCAAUUGGGAUUAGCUAGUAGGUGGGGUAACGGCUCACCUAGGCGACGAUCCCUAGCUGGUCUGAGAGGAUGACCAGCCACACUGGAACUGAGACACGGUCCAGACUCCUACGGGAGGCAGCAGUGGGGAAUAUUGCACAAUGGGCGCAAGCCUGAUGCAGCCAUGCCGCGUGUAUGAAGAAGGCCUUCGGGUUGUAAAGUACUUUCAGCGGGGAGGAAGGGAGUAAAGUUAAUACCUUUACUCAUUGACGUUACCCGCAGAAGAAGCACCGGCUAACUCCGUG